rnacentral:rRNA from 1 species
AGUGAACGCUGGCGGUAGGCCUAACACAUGCUAGUCGAACGGCAGCACAGGAGAGCUUGCUCUCUGGGUGGCGAGUGGCGGACGGGUGAGGAAUACAUCGGAAUCUACUCUGUCGUGGGGGAUAACGUAGGGAAACUUACGCUAAUACCGCAUACGACCUACGGGUGAAAGCAGGGGACCUUCGGGCCUUGCGCGAUUGAAUGAGCCGAUGUCGGAUUAGCUAGUUGGCGGGGUAAAGGCCCACCAAGGCGACGAUCCGUAGCUGGUCUCAGAGUUUGCUCAGGCACACUUGACCGAGGUCACCGUCCAGACCCCUACGGGAAGCAGCAGUGGGGAAUAUUGGACAAUGGGCGCAAGCCUGAUACAGCCAUACGGCGUGGGGGAAGAAGGCCUCCGGGUUGUAAAGCCCUUUUGUUGGGAAAGAAAGCCAGCUGGCUAAAACCCGGUCGGGAUGACGGUACCCAAAGAAUAAGCACCGGCUAACUUCGUGCCAGCAGCCGCCGUAA